GCACAGCUCACGUAUGAGGCACUGAUUCGCUUCUUAAAAAAUGCAGCCAAUGAGAUCCCAAUCGAGCUGGAGCUGCUUGAGGCUCAGAUGCACCCAAACAUACUCGAUGUGUUUUAUGAAGUCGUCAUCUUCGGGUGGUUCAUCUAUGACACCGCACCUGAGUUUGUAGAUGGCGGUUUCCUGAGUACACUGUUUGAACACAUCAACAGCUGGGAUAUUGAGAUCUGGGAACCAGUGGCGAAGCAAUGCUUCAUGGUUCUUCUUGAUCAGAUCACUGCAUUUCUUGAAGCUGUGUUCUCUCAGCCACUGGACCUUUAUGGAGAUGCAGGACGCUUGGCU